rnacentral:rRNA from 1 species
GGGUUGUGAGGUUAAGCGACUAAGCGUACACGGUGGAUGCCCUGGCAGUCAGAGGCGAUGAAGGACGUGCUAAUCUGCGAUAAGCGCCGGUAAGGUGAUAUGAACCGUUAUAACCGGCGAUUUCCGAAUGGGGAAACCCAGUGUGAUUCGUCACACUAUCAUUAACUGAAUCCAUAGGUUAAUGAGGCGAACCGGGGGAACUGAAACAUCUAAGUACCCCGAGGAAAAGAAAUCAACCGAGAUUCCCCCAGUAGCGGCGAGCGAACGGGGAGGAGCCCAGAGCCUGAAUCAGCAUGUGUGUUAGUGGAAGCGUCUGGAAAGGCGCGCGAUACAGGGUGACAGCCCCGUACACAAAAGCGCAUGUGCUGUGAGCUCGAUGAGUAGGGCGGGACACGUGGUAUCCUGUCUGAAUAUGGGGGGACCAUCCUCCAAGGCUAAAUACUCCUGACUGACCGAUAGUGAACCAGUACCGUGAGGGAAAGGCGAAAAGAACCCCGGCGAGGGGAGUGAAAAAGAACCUGAAACCGUGUACGUACAAGCAGUGGGAGCACAGGUUUACCUGUGUGACUGCGUACCUUUUGUAUAAUGGGUCAGCGACUUAUAUUCUGUAGCAAGGUUAACCGAAUAGGGGAGCCGGAGGGAAACCGAGUCUUAAUUGGGCGUUAAGUUGCAGGGUAUAGACCCGAAACCCGGUGAUCUAGCCAUGGGCAGGUUGAAGGUUGGGUAACACUAACUGGAGGACCGAACCGACUAAUGUUGAAAAAUUAGCGGAUGACCUGUGGCUGGGGGUGAAAGGCCAAUCAAACCGGGAGAUAGCUGGUUCUCCCCGAAAGCUAUUUAGGUAGCGCCUCGUGAAUUCAUCUCCGGGGGUAGAGCACUGUUUCGGCUAGGGGGCCAUCCCGGCUUACCAACCCGAUGCAAACUGCGAAUACCGGAGAAUGUUAUCACGGGAGACACACGGCGGGUGCUAACGUCCGUCGUGAAGAGGGAAACAACCCAGACCGCCAGCUAAGGUCCCAAAGUCAUGGUUAAGUGGGAAACGAUGUGGGAAGGCCCAGACAGCCAGGAUGUUGGCUUAGAAGCAGCCAUCAUUUAAAGAAAGCGUAAUAGCUCACUGGUCGAGUCGGCCUGCGCGGAAGAUGUAACGGGGCUAAACCAUGCACCGAAGCUGCGGCAGCGAACGUAUCACCCAAGACAACUUUACGGAGUUGACGAUUGACGGAGCGAAGCGACGUCAAAGCGUUCAUUAAAGUCGAGUUGGCUUAGGGAUACGUUCGUUGGGUAGGGGAGCGUUCUGUAAGCCUGUGAAGGUGUGUCGUGAGGCAUGCUGGAGGUAUCAGAAGUGCGAAUGCUGACAUAAGUAACGAUAAAGCGGGUGAAAAGCCCGCUCGCCGGAAGACCAAGGGUUCCUGUCCAACGUUAAUCGGGGCAGGGUGAGUCGACCCCUAAGGCGAGGCCGAAAGGCGUAGUCGAUGGGAAACGGGUUAAUAUUCCCGUACUUGGUGUUACUGCGAAGGGGGGACGGAGAAGGCUAUGUUGGCCGGGCGACGGUUGUCCCGGUUUAAGCGUGUAGGUGUGUGUUCCAGGUAAAUCCGGUUCACUUUAACACUGAGGCGUGACGACGAGGCACUACGGUGCUGAAGCAACAAAUGCCCUGCUUCCAGGAAAAGCCUCUAAGCAUCAGGUAACACCAAAUCGUACCCCAAACCGACACAGGUGGUCAGGUAGAGAAUACCAAGGCGCUUGAGAGAACUCGGGUGAAGGAACUAGGCAAAAUGGUGCCGUAACUUCGGGAGAAGGCACGCUGACACGUAGGUGAAGUGAUUUACUCAUGGAGCUGAAGUCAGUCGAAGAUACCAGCUGGCUGCAACUGUUUAUUAAAAACACAGCACUGUGCAAACACGAAAGUGGACGUAUACGGUGUGACGCCUGCCCGGUGCCGGAAGGUUAAUUGAUGGGGUCAGCGCAAGCGAAGCUCCUGAUCGAAGCCCCGGUAAACGGCGGCCGUAACUAUAACGGUCCUAAGGUAGCGAAAUUCCUUGUCGGGUAAGUUCCGACCUGCACGAAUGGCGUAAUGAUGGCCAGGCUGUCUCCACCCGAGACUCAGUGAAAUUGAACUCGCUGUGAAGAUGCAGUGUACCCGCGGCAAGACGGAAAGACCCCGUGAACCUUUACUAUAGCUUGACACUGAACAUUGAGCCUUGAUGUGUAGGAUAGGUGGGAGGCUUUGAAGUGUGGACGCCAGUCUGCAUGGAGCCGACCUUGAAAUACCACCCUUUAAUGUUUGAUGUUCUAACGUGGACCCGUAAUCCGGGUUGCGGACAGUGUCUGGUGGGUAGUUUGACUGGGGCGGUCUCCUCCUAAAGAGUAACGGAGGAGCACGAAGGUUGGCUAAUCCUGGUCGGACAUCAGGAGGUUAGUGCAAUGGCAUAAGCCAGCUUGACUGCGAGCGUGACGGCGCGAGCAGGUGCGAAAGCAGGUCAUAGUGAUCCGGUGGUUCUGAAUGGAAGGGCCAUCGCUCAACGGAUAAAAGGUACUCCGGGGAUAACAGGCUGAUACCGCCCAAGAGUUCAUAUCGACGGCGGUGUUUGGCACCUCGAUGUCGGCUCAUCACAUCCUGGGGCUGAAGUAGGUCCCAAGGGUAUGGCUGUUCGCCAUUUAAAGUGGUACGCGAGCUGGGUUUAGAACGUCGUGAGACAGUUCGGUCCCUAUCUGCCGUGGGCGCUGGAGAACUGAGGGGGGCUGCUCCUAGUACGAGAGGACCGGAGUGGACGCAUCACUGGUGUUCGGGUUGUCAUGCCAAUGGCACUGCCCGGUAGCUAAAUGCGGAAGAGAUAAGUGCUGAAAGCAUCUAAGCACGAAACUUGCCCCGAGAUGAGUUCUCCCUGAGACUUAGAGUCUCCUGAAGGAACGUUGAAGACGACGACGUUGAUAGGCCGGGUGUGUAAGCGCAGCGAUGCGUUGAGCUAACCGGUACUAAUGAACCGUGAGGCUUAACCUUACAACGCCGAAG